rnacentral:rRNA from 1 species
UACGAAGGGGGCUAGCGUUGCUCGGAAUUACUGGGCGUAAAGCGCACGUAGGCGGAUUGUUAAGUCGGGGGUGAAAUCCUGGAGCUCAACUCCAGAACUGCCUUCGAUACUGGCGAUCUCGAGUUCGGGAGAGGUGGAGUGGAACUGCGAGUGUAGAGGUGAAAUUCGUAGAUAUUCGCAAGAACACCAGUGGCGAAGGCGGCUCACUGGCCCGAUACUGACGCUGACGGUGCGA